GAUAUCAGUCAUGAUCCAGUGAUCAUCAGUAUCAGUCUGUGGCUGCCUGUCCUCUGUGUGCUUCUGCUGCUGUUACUGCUGUCAAGUGUCUGUGUGUGUUGGAGAGCAACAGGACUGCAGAAAGAUUGUGCAAAAACUAAUGAACUGCACCAGGACUGGAUUCACAACAGUGUUCAGGGUAAAAUAAAGUUUGGUCAUUAUAUGAUGAGACGUGAUGAUUGGACACUGGCUGAAGUUAUUUAUACACCACUGAAUAAUAUUUCUUAAAUCAUCCUUUCAAAAUAUGUAAUAUUAUCUUUUUGUGCUCUUUUAUUGCAUUGAAUAUGAUAAAACAAGUUGUCAAAGCUGUGUAUGAACUUUACCGCAACUUUGAAAUUCUAACUUCUUAUUCUAACUAGUCUUAAACUUAUGCACAUGAAUAAUGAUAUUGCUCAGCAUCACCUGUACUGUUGUCUCUUUAUCUUCUAGUUCUGAUAUUAAUUUGUUUUGAUUAUAUGGCAUCAUAAAGAACCUCUUUUAAACUAAACUUUGUAACAACAUGGGAUGUCUGAAGGCAAUGACUUUAGAGAACAUGUCCUAAAUCAAACAUAUAUUCUGUUCAGUGGCAGUUAACCACAUCCUGUUUUUCACUGCUAUCAGUCCCGAUGGUCAUUUAUAAAUAAAUGUUCUUUACACAUUUAUUUAUAGUGAACCACUAAAUGUA